UACGGCCAUAGAACACAGAAAGCAUUCCAUCCCGUCCGCUUUGGAAAAUUAAGCUGUGUAUCGCUCGGUUAGUACCAAGGUGGGGGACCACUUGGGAAUCCCGGGUGCUGUAGUUUUAUCCUUUUUGGCGAGGCGAGCGGGAGAGAGGGAGAAGAACAUCGCCCAAGCC